CCUACGGGAGGCAGCAGUGGGGAAUAUUGCACAAUGGGGGGAACCCUGAUGCAGCGACGCCGCGUGGGUGAAGGAGUAUUUCGGUAUGUAAAGCCCUAUCAGCAGGGAAGAACAAGGACGGUACCUGACUAAGAAGCACCGGCUAAAUACGUGCCAGCAGCCGCGGUAAUACGUAGGGGGCAAGCGUUAUCCGGAUUUACUGGGUGUAAAGGGAGCGCAGGCGGCGAGUUAAGCCGGGUGUGAAAGUCCGGGGCCCAACCAGGGGACUGCAUUGGGAACUGGCUGGCUGGAGUGCGGGAGGGGUAGGCGGAAUUCCUGGUGUAGCGGUGAAAUGCGUAGAUAUCAGGAGGAACACCAGUGGCGAAGGCGGCCUACUGGACGGUGACUGACGCUGAGGCUCGAAAGCGUGGGGAGCAAACAGGAUUAGAUACCCGAGUAGUC
rnacentral:rRNA from 1 species